GUAGCGAAAUUCCUUGUCGGGUAAGUUCCGACCUGCACGAAUGGCGUAACGACUUGGGCGCUGUCUCAACCAUGGACCCGGUGAAAUUGUAUUAUUCGUGAAGAUGCGAAUUACCUGCGGAAGGACGGAAAGACCCCGUGAACCUUUACUGCAGCUUGGCAUUGGCUGUUGGUGCGGUGCGUAGAGGAUAGGCAGGAGCCUGCGAACCGGGAACGCCAGUUCCCGGGGAGGCGCCCUUGGAAUACUGCCCUCACCGCAUCGGCAGCCUAACGCGCCGCCCUCAUCGGGGGCGCGGACCGUGCCAGGUGGGUAGUUUGACUGGGGCGGUCGCCUCCUAAACUGUAACGGAGGCGUGCGAAGGUUCGCUCAGGGCGGUUGGCAAUCGCCCGCAGAGCACAAGAGUACAAGCGAGCCUGACUGCGAGACCAACAAGUCGAGCAGAGACGAAAGUCGGUUCUAGUGAUCCGGCGGCCCAGCGUGGAAUGGCCGUCGCUCAACGGAUAAAAGGUACUCCGGGGAUAACAGGCUGAUCUUGCCCAAGAGUCCACAUCGACGGCAAGGUUUGGCACCUCGAUGUCGGCUCAUCGCAUCCUGGGGCUGUAGCAGGUCCCAAGGGUACGGCUGUUCGCCGUUUAAAGCGGUACGCGAGCUGGGUUCAGAACGUCGUGAGACAGUUCGGUCCCUAUCCUCCGUGGGCGCAAGAGAAUUGAGAGGAUCUGUCCCUAGUACGAGAGGACCGGGAUGGACGCACCUCUGGUGCCGCAGUUGUCGACCAACGGCACAGCUGCCUAGCUACGUGCGGAACGGAUAACCGCUGAAAGCAUCUAAGCGGGAAGCCGGCCUCGAGAUGAGUUCUCUCUUCGGUAAGGCCACUUGUAGACCACAAGUUCGAUAGGCCGCAGCUGCAAGCCCCGCGAGGGGCUCAGGCGAGCGGUACUAAUCGGCCGAGCUCUUCAUCUC
rnacentral:rRNA from 1 species